GGUGAACGCUGGCGGCGUGCCUAACACAUGCAAGUCGAGCGGUGCAGUUUGAAGCUUCGGUGGAAAGCUGCAUAGCGGCGGACGGGUGAGGAAAACGUAGGAACGUGCCCCUUGGAGUUGGAUAGCCACGGGAAACUGUGGGUAAACCGACAUAGACUCGAGAGAGUAAAGGCCGAAAGGCGCCAAGGGAGCGGCCUGCGGCCCAUCAGGUAGUUGGUAGUGUAAAGGACUACCAAGCCGACGACGGGUAGCCGGUCUGAGAGGAUGGCCGGCCACAAGGGCACUGAGAGACGGGCCCUACUCCUACGGGAGGGCAGCAGUGGGGGAUUUUGGACAAUGGGCGAAAGCCUGAUCCAGCGACGCCGCGUGGAGGACGAAGCCCUUCGGGGUGUAAACUCCUUUUCUCAGGGAAAAAGGAUGAUGGUACCUGAGGAAUAAGCCCCGGCUAACUACGUG
rnacentral:rRNA from 1 species